AGAGUUUGAUCAUGGCUCAGGACGAACGCUGGCGGCGUGCUUAACACAUGCAAGUCGAACGGAAAGGCCCUUCGGGGUGCUCGAGUGGCGAACGGGUGAGUAACACGUGGGUGAUCUGCCCUGCACUUUGGGAUAAGCCUGGGAAACUGGGUCUAAUACCGAAUAGGACUGCGCUCUUCAUGGGGUGUGGUGGAAAGCUUUUGCGGUGUGGGAUGGGCCCGCGGCCUAUCAGCUUGUUGGUGGGGUAAUGGCCUACCAAGGCGACGACGGGUAGCCGGCCUGAGAGGGUGACCGGCCACACUGGGACUGAGAUACGGCCCAGACUCCUACGGGAGGCAGCAGUGGGGAAUAUUGCACAAUGGGCGCAAGCCUGAUGCAGCGACGCCGCGUGAGGGAUGACGGCCUUCGGGUUGUAAACCUCUUUCAGCACAGACGAAGCGCGAGUGACGGUAUGUGCAGAAGAAGGACCGGCCAACUACGUGCCAGCAGCCGCGGUAAUACGUAGGGUCCGAGCGUUGUCCGGAAUUACUGGGCGUAAAGAGCUCGUAGGUGGUUUGUCGCGUUGUUCGUGAAAACUCACAGCUUAACUGUGGGCGUGCGGGCGAUACGGGCAGACUGGAGUACUGCAGGGGAGACUGGAAUUCCUGGUGUAGCGGUGGAAUGCGCAGAUAUCAGGAGGAACACCGGUGGCGAAGGCGGGUCUCUGGGCAGUAACUGACGCUGAGGAGCGAAAGCGUGGGGAGCGAACAGGAUUAGAUACCCUGGUAGUCC
rnacentral:rRNA from 1 species